UUGAAAAAAAAUGAAUUGCUUUGUUCUGUUGGAUCUCAAAAACGUAUCCUCUCACUGUUAAUUGAUUUUGUUAUAUAUGAAUGUUGGUUUCUGUGAGAUAACUUAUUGGAUCUUGUUUCCAGAUUUUAUGGGAUGUUUGCUUUGUGGAUUUAAGGUUGUUUAUUUGGAUAUUGGAAUGUGUUUUUUUGGUGUUUUCUUUGAUUCAUCGUGCAACAUACUUACCUGUUUAUUUAAUCGUUUAUUUUCCAGUUUGUUUUAAGUGCUUAUUUGAUAAGCCUUUUCUUUGAAUUGUUUUUUUUGCAGGUGAAGUGAUGUUGAUUAGGAAAGGAGGCGGCGCCAGCUUGGGAUUGGGGCGUUGGAGCAUCCAAAAGAGCUUUUGGAAAAGUCUUGGAAGCUGUUUCAAUCUGUUGGAUACUCAACUUGUUCAAUUUUUCUUCAAAUUUAUUUAGCUGUAACAAAACUUUUGGAUUGUAACUUUAGGGACUAAUCAUGUAACCUCUGUUGAAUUAUUUGUAAGAUCUGCAUAUUUUAAACUCUUUUGAUUAUGCCUUGGCCUUUUUUGGAGUAAUUUGUAACAUUUGGAUUUAAUUAGAACUUUGAAUUUAAUUGGAACUUUGACUAUGAAAAAUUGGGGUUGAAACGUAUAACCUC
rnacentral:lncRNA from 1 species